CCUACGGGAGGCUGCAGUGGGGAAUAUUGGACAAUGGGGGCAACCCUGAUCCAGCCAUGCCGCGUGUGUGAAGAAGGCCUUCGGGUUGUAAAGCACUUUAAGUGGGGAGGAAGGCUCGCUGGUUAAUAGUCAGCGGGAGUGACGUUACCCACAGAAUAAGCACCGGCAAACUCCGUGCCAGCAGCCGCGGUAAUACGGAGGGUGCGAGCGUUAAGCGGAAUUAGUGGGCGUGAAGAGCCCGUAGGCGGUUCCCUGGGCUCAGCCUGGGGGCUGCAUUCGAUACUGGCAGACUUGAAUACGGUAGAGGGGGGUGGAAUUCCAGGUGUAGCGGUGAAAUGCGUAGAGAUCUGGAGGAACACCAGUGGCGAAGGCGGCCCCCUGGACCGAUAUUGACGCUGAGGUGCGAAAGCGUGGGGAGCAAACAGGAUUAGAUACCCCUGUAGUC
rnacentral:rRNA from 1 species